UUGAAAAUAGCUCGGAUGAGCUGAGGGUAGGGGUGAAAGGCUAAUCAAGUUUCGUGAUUGCCCGUUCUCCUCGAAAUGCCUUUAGGGGCAGCCUCGGAUGGUCGGCGAUGGUGGUAGAGCACUGAAUGGACUAGGGGCCUUACCAGGUUACUGAAUCCAAUCAAACUUCGAAUGCCAUCGACACGUAAUCCGGGAGUGAGACAGUGGGGGCUAAGCUCCAUUGUCGAAAGGGAAACAGCCCAGACAUGCAUCUAAGGUCCCUAAGUCACUGCUAAGUGGGAAAGGAUCUGGAGACGCUUAGACAACCAGGAGGUUGGCUUAGAAGCAGCCAUCCUUUAAAGAAAGCGUAAUAGCUCACUGGUCAAGCGGCUCUGGGCCGACAAUGUAACGGGGCUCAAGCAGUGCACCGAAGAUCAUGACAGACGGGUCUUGCGAGAUCCGUCUUUGGUAGAGGAGCGUUCUCUCUGCAGUGAAGUCAGACCGACAAGGACUGGUGGAGCUGAGAGAAGUGACCCUGCCGGCAUAAGUAGCGAGAAGGGAAGUGAGAAUCUUCCCCGCCGAAAACCUAAGGAUUCCUGAGGUAGGUUCGUCCGCUCAGGGUUAGUCGGGAGCUAACGCGAGGCCGAAAGGCGUAGCGGAUGCACAUCCGGUUAAUAUUCCGGAACUACUGACAGAUCGUUAUCACGAUGGGGGGACGCAGGAAGCUAUGCGGGCCUGGUUUUGGUUAUCCAGGUUUAGACAUGUAGGGGGAACAGACAGGCAAAUCCGUUUGUUCAUAAACCCUGAGGUGUUAUAGCGAUGGCCGCAAGGCCAAUAAAGCCGCAGACGCUACGCUGCCGAGAAAAGCCUCUAAGGAGAUCUGUAAGUACCCGUACCGCAAACCGACACAGGUAGGUGAGGAGAAAAUCCUCAGGCGCAAGUGAGAAUCAUCGUUUAGGAACUAGGCAAAAUUACCCCGUAACUUCGGGAGAAGGGGUGCUCCCUGUUGUCAGUGUCCACGCGGCACGAAGCGGCAGAGAGUUGCAAUAAAGAGGGUCAAGCGACUGUUUACUAAAAACACAGGGCUCUGCUAAGUCGAAAACGACGUAUAGGGUCUGACGCCUGCCCGGUGCCGGAAGGUUAAAAGGAGAGGUCAGCCGCAAGGUGAAGCCUUGAAUUGAAGCCCCGGUAAACGGCGGCCGUAACUAUAACGGUCCUAAGGUAGCGAAAUUCCUUGUCGGGUAAGUUCCGACCUGCACGAAUGGCGUAACGAUUUGACCGCUGUCUCAACGAUGAACGCUGCGAAUUUGUGGUACCGGUGAAGACGCCGGUUGCCCGCCAUAAGACGAAAAGACCCCGUGCACCUUUACUGCACCUUAGUAGUGAAUGUUGACGACGUAUGCGCAGCAUAGGUGGGAGACUUUGAUCCCAGGCUCUCGGGCUUGGGGGAGUCAACU
rnacentral:rRNA from 1 species